UACGUAGGGUGCGAGCGUUAAUCGGAAUUAUUGGGCGUAAAGGGCGCGUAGGCGGUGCGGUAAGUCACCUGUGAAAUCUCCUGGCUCAACUGGGAGCUUGCAGGCGAAACUGCCGUGCUGGAGUGUGGGAGAGGUGCGUGGAAUUCCUGGUGUAGCGGUGGAAUGCGCAGAUAUCAGGAGGACACCGGUGGCGAAGGCGGGUCUCUGGGCCGUAACUGACGCUGAGGAGCGAAAGCGUGGGGAGCGAACAGG
rnacentral:rRNA from 1 species